AGUCACAUCCUGUGCGGGUGAGCGGCGGGCCAGGCCCGGCAGUUGUUUCGACACGCGCCGAGCUUCGCAGCUCUUCCAGGGCUCCGCUGCCCGAGCUAGCCCGGGCCCAGUUCUGGGGCGAAAAUGCCAGCCCUUCACAUCGAAGAUUUGCCAGAGAAGGAAAAACUGAAAAUGGAAGUUGAGCAGCUUCGCAAAGAAGUGAAGUUGCAGAGACAACAAGUGUCUAAAUGUUCUGAAGAAAUAAAGAACUAUAUUGAAGAACGUUCUGGAGAGGAUCCUCUAGUAAAGGGAAUUCCAGAAGACAAGAAUCCCUUUAAAGAAAAAGGCAGCUGUGUUGUUUCAUAAAUAACUUGGGAGAAACUGCAUCCUAAGUGGAAGAACUAGUUUGUUUUAGUUUUCCCAGAAAAAACCAACAUGCUUUUUAAGGAAGGAAGAAUGAAAUUAAAAGGAGACUUUCUUAAGCACCAUAUAGAUAGGGUUAUGUAGAAAAGCAUAUGUGCUACUCAUCUUUGCUCACUAUGCAGUCUUUUUUAAGAGGGCAGAGAGUAUCAAAGGUGCAAUUAUGGAAAUAUGAGCAUUACUUGAGCAUGACACUUCUUUCAGUAUAUUGCUUGAUGCUUCAAAUAAAGUUUUAUCUUGGGAAGAUGAGUGUUGGUGAUUUAAGAAGGCACUUUUCAUCCAUUAACUUUUAUAUUUCUCCCCAAAAUCUUUUGGGUGUGGAAUAUGAUUGGGCUUGGAAUAUGAUUGAGAAGAUUAGGUGGUUCGACAGAUCACACCUCCAAUCCAGCUCUCUGCAUCAACGGUUUAGAGUGCUGAGUUCUGACCACAGGAAUGUGUUUGAUCUAACCUUAACUAUUUAGAAACUGAGCAGGUAGAAUUCCUAUAACAUUGACAGAAGUCACAUUAUCUGAGUCAGGAACAAGGCCAAGCCACAUCUAUGUUAGUAAUAUCCUAGUUUAUCAUCAUUUAGAUCUUCUUAAUAGUGUUCCUGUAGGAGUAGCCUUGAAGAAAAGACUGAGUUGGGGAUCAGGAAGGGUGCCCUGCCUCUCCGCAGCAUAGUGGCCAGGCCAGCCCUGGCUUUGAGGACCAGUACUUAACCUGCACAGAGCUACAUCUCCCAUGUGCUCUCCAGGUCUUGGGCACGGCACUACUCCAGUUCUGUGGCAUUGGUGCAGACACUUGGAUCUCUGCACUCAUGCUUACCAGCAUUUUCCAGCAGGCCUUGGUCAAACAUGGCUCUUUUUCUUCUCCUCCAAAGGCACCAGUGAAUCUUUGCCCACUUUAAAGAUUAGUUGGUCUUUUUCUUACUGAUGUGUAGGAAUUCUUCAUAUAUUCUGGCCUUUAUUCAUGGUUGGUGAUAUGUGUUGCAAAUACCUUUUCCCAGUCUGUGGCUUACGUUUUCACAGUGACGUUUCCUUCAGUGGUUUCAUCCUGCAGGGGCAACAUGCCAGAGUAUAACUCCUGCUGAAGUUCAUAACAAGGGUACCUGAAGCCCAAACCUCAAAAAAAGGGACCUUUCUUUCUCUCCUUGAGCAUUCUCCCGCUUUCUCCUCCAUCUUUGGGUCAAAAUUGCUCCAAGUUUGAGCCAAAAGAAAAACAUGGAAAAACCCUUGCUGGUUAGCUCUAGCUCAAAUGGACUUAGUUAUUAACUUGACCUGCAAUUUUCAAUGUGGCACCAGAAGCCAAUAUUUCUCCUUGACUGGAUCUUUUCUCCCACUUAGACAUGUAGGUAUACCUUACUAUCAAGCCAGAGAGGUGCCUGUAACCUGUAGCACUUCCUAAAGUAUAUCAGCAUCCUCACUCUGAAAUUCCUUUCCUUUCCCUCUCUGGGAAAGAACAGUAUUCCCUAGGCUUUUGAAAAAUAGGUCACACAAACCAAGAGCAGGAACUAUUUCCUUCAGUUUCCUGACACUUUCCAAGUGAUGAUGUCAAUUGGGAUUACUGAGAGCCAAGGGAUAAUUUUAGCCCAAAAUUACUACUCCUAGGAAGGAUUUAGGAAUAGUAAAGGUAUAUUUCUUCCAAACAGCAUAGAACAAUUAGUACUAUUAGUCAUUUAACAUUUAACAUGGUAUGGAAAUAGAGCUUUGGUGCCUGUAAAGUUUUACUUUUAUUAGCUGUUUCAUUUCUUUGCACUCAUAAAGUUUUCUUUUGUUGCUUAUGAAAGCAAACAUUUAUUCCGGUUACUGGCAAGGCAGAUUAAAUCACCUGCUUCUUUUAUGAAGGGCCAAGACACAUUUAUUCCCUAACUUGUUGGGAGUUUUGAUUACAAAUCUAUAUCCUGAUGUCUAUUAGCAGAUUCAGCUAUCCUUUCAUGUACACUCCCAAGUCCUAGCUUUGGCUCUUCAUGUCUCUUUCAACCAUAUGAUCAAUCAGUCAAGACGACCUCUGGUUUUUCCUAAAUAAAUAUCUAAUCUUGUAGGUGCUUCUAUUAAAUCUAAUUCUGUUUCUUUUUCUUACUGUUUAUCAUUAUAACUCAGCCAACACGUAGGACUGCAAUGAAAAUAUUUUAAUUUUCUACUGUUCAACUGCUAAAACUUAUUAGCUUGUAUUAGAAAAAGAAAAAAUGCAUCCACUAUAUAUUUGGAUAUAUUGUAAAUGUAACCUUUGGUGACUGAGAAUUUGUUAAGCAGAAUUUAAAUUAUGUAUCCAAUUCAUUCCAAGUGUAUGGUUGCGUAAUUAUUUACUAUUUGAUUAAAAAUAGUUAUCAUGCAU
rnacentral:lncRNA from 1 species